AGCGAACGCUGGCGGCAGGCUUAACACAUGCAAGUCGAGCGGGCACCUUUCGGGGUGUCAGCGGCGGACGGGUGAGUAACGCGUGGGAACGUGCCCUCUGGUUCGGAAUAACUCAGGGAAACUUGAGCUAAUACCGGAUACGCCCUUUUGGGGAAAGGCUUGCUGCCGGAGGAUCGGCCCGCGUCUGAUUAGCUAGUUGGUGAGGUAACGGCUCACCAAGGCGACGAUCAGUAGCUGGUCUGAGAGGAUGAUCAGCCACACUGGGACUGAGACACGGCCCAGACUCCUACGGGAGGCAGCAGUGGGGAAUAUUGGACAAUGGGCGCAAGCCUGAUCCAGCCAUGCCGCGUGAGUGAUGAAGGCCUUAGGGUUGUAAAGCUCUUUUAUCCGGGACGAUAAUGACGGUACCGGAGGAAUAAGCCCCGGCUAACGUCGUGC
rnacentral:rRNA from 1 species